UACGUAGGGUGCAAGCGUUAAUCGGAAUUACUGGGCGUAAAGCGUGCGCAGGCGGUGAUGUAAGACAGGUGUGAAAUCCCCGGGCUUAACCUGGGAACUGCAUUUGUGACUGCAUCGCUGGAGUGCGGCAGAGGGGGAUGGAAUUCCGCGUGUAGCAGUGAAAUGCGUAGAUAUGCGGAGGAACACCGAUGGCGAAGGCAAUCCCCUGGGCCUGCACUGACGCUGAUGCGCGAAAGCGUGGGGAGCGAUCCGG
rnacentral:rRNA from 1 species